UCAUACCUGGUUGUGUGUUAUGUUCCUAGUUUAGUUUCUGCAUUGACUUGUGCCAGCAAUAAAGCUGAGUUUUUUGAGUUCAUGUUUUGUCUCUGAAAGUCUGCAUUUGGGUCCUAUCUGCCUGCUCCACACACAGUUCAUGACAAACACUCCAGAUUCUUUGGGUGAUGACUGGUAGAACAUCUUCGGCCACUAUUUUUUGAGUUGACUGGAAGGAAAGGUGUGACCUCAAAGAUAGGAACUCCACCACCAGCUCAGCAAAAUCACCUAGCAACCCAGGUAUGCUUUUACUGUUUGGGAUCAUUGUCAUGAAAAAUGAAGAUGCUGCCCAAUCAGAUGCUUCACAUGUGGUAUUGCAUGGCUCCGCUUGCUGCUCCCGCAGCUGCCACACAUCACUUCAGGAAUCUGAUGAACUGUACCAACCUCAGAUUAACCUCCAGCCCUGUCUUUCUUUUUCUGCAAUCCCAGACCGUCACUGGAGUACAAGAUGUAGUGAAAUGCUUGUGUCCGAGCUGAAGACAGGCUGCAGACGUAGCCACGCCAUUCCAGGGCUUGGUUUUUAGCAUGGGGUGUCUAAGCCAGGAGUCGAACUUGCAACUCCAGCUACAGAGCAGGGCAGAACGACCACGGCUAAAUGAGGUGAUCACUGCCUACUGCAGUGUUUCUGAAAAUGUGGGAUACUGAACAACUGAAGGUGGGGUGUGGAUAUCAAGGUGGAAAAAUAUAAAGUGAAACUACUAUACUGAUUUUCAUUUUCACACAAUUCAUCCUGAAUUUUUCUAACUGAUUAAAAUAAAUUAAAACAUUGUCUAAGGAAGUGCAAGCUGUUUUUGACUUCUGAAGUGAAUCAUGUCACGAAAAGGUUUGAGAACAACUGAGAUAUUGGUAUGUAGUGGAAAUGCCACUUAACCCCCUUUCAGUGGGCUGGUAACAUGAGAGCACAGUUUAAGUUCCCUGCAACGACAAGAAGUCUGUUUGUUGUAGCUGUCCGUUGUCACCUUUGAGCAGUCUCAAGAAUUUAUAACAUGGACUUCCUUUGUUCCCAUUGGUGCUGUUGUUGUCCUUUAGUUUAGUCCCAGCAGUGGAGGAGACAGAAGUAAUUAUACACAGAGACUUUGUAUGGAGUUGAAAGAGACUGGUAAAAACAAAGCUGUCCACUGUACGCAUUGUCUGUGCCCUUUUCUUGAACUGCCUCCUCUUUGUUGUGAACUCUGCUCUCGAUGCUCUAUCCCUGUUCUUGACAAACUUUAAGCCAAUCAGCAUUCAAUGCAUGCAUAGUGUCACCAUCUCUGGCCAUGACUGUUGACCUUUGGCAAACCAUGACUCUGGCUGCAGUCCACAGAGAUGUUAGGAGAAAAGCAACAUCUACAUCAAAUUUUGCUGCCAUGAAAAAGCGCUAAAAAUGCAAUACUUAACAUAGUGAUCUUCCUGUUGUGUGCCAAGUGGGACUUAUUUCACAACACUGAAUACAGAGCUGUCCCACUACAGGACACAACAGAUUGGAGUAUUAGCAGUGAGGAUGCUAUUUGCUCACCUCACAGUGACAAAUCACACAGGACCAAAAGAAGGAUAAAUUAAAACAGUAGUGUUUUUCUUGGUGUUUUGAUAGAAAAAUGUGAAGUAGAUGUAGUGAUUUAUUAACUCUGCCACGGAAGUUGUUUUUGGUAGGAUUUGUGACAUCAUUAUGUCAUCACAAAAGUUUGUCUGGAGUGAGUCAUGUUGACAAUUCAUAAAAAUUUGGUUUGCAUCCAUAAAGGUCUUAAAGGUCAACUUAAUGAUUUAUUGGUUGAAAAACAAAAAAGCCUAAAAAAAGC